CUACCCUUGACAUGUCUGGAAGGCUGCUGAAAGGUGGCUGUGCCCGAAAGGGAACCGGAACACAGGUGCUGCAUGGCUGUCGUCAGCUCGUGUCGUGAGAUGUUGGGUUAAGUCCCGCAACGAGCGCAACCCUUGUCCCUAGUUGCUACGCAAGGGCACUCUAGGGAGACUGCCGGUGACAAACCGGAGGAAGGUGGGGAUGACGUCAAGUCCUCAUGGCCCUUAUGGGUAGGGCUUCACACGUCAUACAAUGGCCGGUACAGAGGGUUGCCAAAGCGCGAGCUGGAGCCAAUCCCUAUAAAGCCGGUCGUAGUCCGGAUUGCAGUCUGCAACUCGACUGCAUGAAGUCGGAAUCGCUAGUAAUCGCGGAUCAGCAUGUCGCGGUGAAUACGUUCCCGGGUCUUGUACACACCGCCCGUCACACCAUGGGAGCGGGAUGUACCAGAAGUAGGUAGGCUAACCGCAAGGGGGCCGCUUACCACGGUGCGUUUCGUGACUGGGGUG
rnacentral:rRNA from 1 species